rnacentral:rRNA from 1 species
AUCGAACGCUAGCGGCAUGCCUUACACAUGCAAGUCGAACGGAGAGGCGAACGGGUGAGUAAUGUAUCGGAACGAGCCCCGUAGCGGGGUACCCCUCCGCGAAAGCGUACCCAAUACCGCAUACAUUAGGCGCGGCUGCUAUCGGAUUAGCUGGUUGGUGGGGUAACGGCUCACCAAGGGGACGAUCCAUAGCUGGUCUGAGAGCACGACCCGCCACACUGGGACUGAGACCCGGCCCAGACUCCUACGGGAGGCAGCAGUGGGGAAUUUUGGACAAUGGGGGAAACCCUGAACCAGCCAUCCCGCGUGUGCGAUGAAGGCCUUCGGGUUGUAAAGCUCUGUUGGCAGGAAAGCGGUACCUGCAGAAUAAGCACCGGCUAACUACGUGCCAGCAGCCGCGGUAAUUC